rnacentral:rRNA from 1 species
GAUGAACGCUGGCGGCGUGCCUAAUACAUGCAAGUCGAGCGGUAAGGCCACUUCGGUGGUACACGAGCGGCGGACGGCUGAGUAACACGUAGGAACGUACCCCAAAGUGAGGGAUAAGCACCGGAAACGGUGUCUAAUACCGCAUGUGGUCUUCGGACUAAAGCUCCGGCGCUUUGGGAACGGCCUGCGCAUGAUUAGCUUGUUGGUGAGGUAAUAGCUCACCAAGGCGACGAUCAUUAGCUGGUCUGAGAGGAUGAUCAGCCAGACUGGGACUGAGGACGGCCCAGACUCCUACGGGAGGCAGCAGUAGGGAAUUUUCCACAAUGGGCGCAAGCCUGAUGGAGCAACGCCGCGUGCAGGAUGAAUGCCUUC